rnacentral:misc_RNA from 1 species
UCGUAACAAGGUUUCCGUAGGUGAACCUGCGGAAGGAUCAUUAUAGUAUUCUAUUGCCUGCGCUUAAUUGCGCGGCGAUAUACCUUACACACAUUGUUUUUUUAUUUUAAAGACACCAUUGCUUUGGUGGGAGAGUUUAAAAGCUUUCCUGCCAGAGGUAUAAUCAAACUCGUUUUAGCCUAGCUAAUCGUAUUUUUAAUUACUAGUCAUAAAAAUUUGUCUGAUUAAUUUCAGGAAUACAAAUAUUUAAAACUUUCAACAACGGAUCUCUUGGUUCUCGCAUCGAUGAAGAACGCAGCGAAUUGCGAUAAGUAUUGUGAAUUGCAGAUUUUCGUGAAUCAUCGAAUCUUUGAACGCACAUUGCACCCUUUGGAAUUCCAAAGGGUAUGCCUGUUUGAGCGUCAUUUCUCUCUCAAAGCCUUUUUUGGUUUUGGUAUUGAGUGAUACUCUGAGCUUUCUUUGAGUUUGCUUGAAAUGUAUUGGCAAGGGAUGCUUAUUCGAUAGCAGUCUGUUUAUUCAAUGUAUUAGGUUCAUCCAACUCGUUGAUUGAUAGAUUGUGUUAUAAAUCGUUGAGUGGUUCCGGCCUUACAACAACUACACAAAGUUUGACCUCAAAUCAGGUAGGAUUACCCGCUGAACUUAAGCA